rnacentral:lncRNA from 1 species
GUAAAAGAGAAGAGAGGUCCAAACUGAAAUCUGAGGAGCCUCAACAUUCAGAACUCAACUGGGCGCUGUGGCUCAAGCCUGUAAUCCCAGCACUUUGGGAGGACGAGGCAGGCAGAACACCUGAGGUGAGAAGUUUGAGACCAGCCUGGCCAACAUGGCCAAACCUUGUCUCUACUGAAAAUAUAAAAAUUAGCCAGGCAUGGUGGCGAGCGCCUGUAAUCCCACCUACUCUGGAGGCUGAGGCAGAAGAAUCUCUUGAACCUGGAAGGCGGAGGUUGCAGUGAGCCGAGAUCACACCACUGCCCUCCAGCCUGGGCGACAGAACAAGACUCCGUGUCAGAAAAAAAAAAAGAAAAGAAAAGAAAAAGAAAAAGAAAAGAACUCGGUGGAGCACAAGUAGCUGAGUAAUGCCCCAGAAGCCGGCAUCAUUGUUGGACAGCUCAGAUGUUCAGGAUGUUUCAUUUUGAGCCUACCUCAUUGGAAUUUCAAAAUAUUGGCCUCUUUGGAGCAAUACAGAGCAAGUCUGUUCCUUCAAGUAGAUGAAAAGCUCCCUGCAUGUCUUCCAUUGGACUUCUCCCCUUUAGCUUAAAAAUAUCCACAGUCCUGAAACAUGGCUCAGAAGCAGAUAUUACCCAAACCCUACUCUUAAAGCUCGGCCAGCCAGCCACAUGCAGGACCCUGAAGCAAAUAAGAGGCAGUGACCUGAGAAGCUACGUAUUGACACGGCGCUACCACGGGUGGAGGAGCCUGCAUUGCUGAAUCACAGGAUGAAGGCGAAUCCCUGCCAGCCUCCAUCCAUCUCUGGGGUGCUUAGCAGAAUCCUCAGCUCACAAGAUGAAUAAAUGCAGACUAAAUGAUGCACAAAUAAUCUUCACACACAACCAUCAACACAUGGAAAGACUGCAGGACGGCCAGAUCCCAAGCUAACAAACAGGGGAAGAUGAUGUUUCAAAUGAUCAUCUGAAUGCUGGGUUUCCACCUUCCACCAGGAAGUCAUAUGGUAAAAAGAAAAAAAAUGGCAUUAUGAUACAAACAGAAAAUGUAACAGUGGAGUGCAGAAAAUACAAAAAAAAGGAAAAAAUAAAUAGAAAAUCUUCAAAGAGGCAAUCUGUUUAAAUCUUCAAGAACUGGAAACAGUAAAAGUGAACAGGUUUUUAUUGAGCAUGUCAAUAAAAUGUUUGCAUAAGAAAAAAAAAAAAAA